rnacentral:rRNA from 1 species
ACACGCAUGACACACUGCAUAUCAAUAAGCGGAGGAAAAGAAACUAACAAGGAUUCCCUUAGUAACGGCGAGUGAAGCGGGAAGAGCUCAAAUUUGAAAUCUUCAAGGUUUACCUUGACGAAUUGUAGUUUAUAGGAAGUGUUUUCUGUUAGGAGUUGGUAAAAGUUCUUUGGAAUAGGACAUCAUAGAGGGUGAGAAUCCCGUAUUUGGUCAUUCUUUCUAGCUUUGUGAUACACUUUCAACGAGUCGGAUUGUUUGGGAAUGCAGUCCAAAAUGGGUGGUAAAUUUCAUCUAAAGCUAAAUAUUGGCGAGAGACCGAUAGCGAACAAGUACCGUGAGGGAAAGAUGAAAAGAACUUUGAAAAGAGAGUUAAACAGUACGUGAAAUUGUCAAAAGGGAAGCGUUUGACACCAGUGUUGUUUUUCCGAAAAUCAAUUACGAAUGUUUUAUUUUUGAGGAGUUAUGACUUCAUCGGCUUGCUCCUUUCUUUAUGAAACUUUCUUAAUGCACUUUUCGGUUAACAAGUCAACAUCAAUUUCUUUUGUUGUAAAAGGGUAAGAGGAAGGUGGCUUACGCUUCGGCGUAAGUGUUUAUAGCCUUUUACCUCUGCAAUCGGAGAGAUUGAGGACAGCAGCGUAGACUCUUCGGGGUUAGAUACACUUGUGCUAAGCUAUAGCCUUGUAUAGACAACUUGUUGACUAUGCUCAGUCAUGUAGCUUACUCGCUUGUGCUAUUUUACCUACGCUUAGGAUGUUGACUGAUAUGUAGUCGUA